rnacentral:lncRNA from 1 species
GGGGGAUAGAAGACUUAGUCCUGUUCAACUUGAUGAUUUUUUGACAAUUAAUUGCUUUUUCUAAAUACCUUUUACAGUUUAGAUGCAUGUUAAUAAACUAAAUGUUUAACUUCAGGUAGAUAUUCUGAUAUAACCCAGAUAGCUGCAUGCAGCAAAGACAGUUCCUUCAGUCGAUAUAUAUUUCCUGACCAACAAAUAUCCAGAGAAGC